UCGAGGAGCAGAUCCUGGAGUACAUGUCCAAGAAGGCGCAGAAGAAGGCCGAGAAGGUGGCCAAGAAGAUGAAGGCCAACGCGGUGUCGGGCUACUCCAACGAUUCCAACCCUUUUGGCGAUCCCAACCUCACAGAGAACUUUGUUUGGCGAAA